AGUGAACGCUGGCGGUAGGCCUAACACAUGCAAGUCGAACGGCAGCACAGUAAGUGCUUGCUCGUACGGGGGGGGAGUCGCGGGCGGGUGAGGAAGACAUCGGAACCUACUUGUUCGAGAGGGAGGACGUAGGGAGACUAAUACUACUACCGCAUACGACCUAAAGGCGAAAGCACGGGAGCUUCGGACCUUGCGCGAUUGAAUGAGCCGAUGUCGGAUUAGCUAGUUGUCGGGGUAAAGGCACACCAAGGCGACGAUCAGUAGCUGGGCUGAGAGGACGACCAGUCAAACUGGGACUGAGACACGGCCCAGACUCCUACGGGAGGCAGCAGUGGGGAAUUUUGGACAAUGGGCGAAAGCCUGAUCCAGCAAUGCCGCGUGUGUGAAGAAGGCCUUCGGGUUGUAAAGCACUUUUGUCCGGAAAGAAAUCCUUGGCCCUAAUACGGUCGGGGGAUGACGGUACCGGAAGAAUAAGCACCGGCUAACUACGUG
rnacentral:rRNA from 1 species